GGAUUUGAGGGCCAUCUGCCUGUGACAUCUGUCCCCCCCAUUGAUCACCAGGCUUGAUUUAGUUGAACUGGCUGGCCAGGCAGGUGUCCCCUUGCUCCCUCACCACUCGGGCAUCCCUCCUGAAGCUGCAUGCUAGGUUGAAGAGGACAAAACCACCCAAUAGAGGAGGACUGUUUCCUCGGUCAGGGGUGUAUGAGCAGCUGUGCUCCCCUGCUAGAACCUCCAAAUAAGCUCUCAAAAUAAGUACAUGAAGCCAUGCCUAAAUUAAUGAAAAUUUAAAUGAACUUCCUUU
rnacentral:snRNA from 1 species